CAAUAGCGUAUAUUUAAGUUGUUGCAGUUAAAAAGCUCGUAGUCGGAUUUUGGCUGAGAACGAUCGGUCCGCCGUUAGGUGUGCACUGAUUGGUCUCAGCUUCCUGGUGAGGAGGUGUGUUUCACGGCCACUUAGUCACCGUGGUUACUUUGAAAAAAUUAGAGUGUUCAAAGCGGGCUUACGCUUGAAUAUAUUAGCAUGGAAUAACACCAUAGGACUCCUGUCCUAUUUCGUUGGUCACGGGACGGGAGUAAUGAUUAAGAGGAACAGUUGGGGGCAUUCGUAUUUCAUUGUCAGAGGUGAAAUUCUUGGAUUUAUGAAAGACGAACUUCUGCGAAAGCAUUUGCCAAGGAUGUUUUCAUUGA
rnacentral:rRNA from 1 species